UUUGAUCAAAUAAAUGCAGCCUUGAUAAGCAAGAGACUUCCUAAAAAACAAAAAAAGUUUAAAAAUAUCUCGUUAUUCCAAACUUCUGCCCCAUAGUGGAUUUUCAGUGGAUUUGGUCACACCAGCAGCUUUUAAUAGGUUUCAUGAUGCUCUUUUGAUUGGAUGGAGGAAGAGGAAAUCCACGAAAGACGCCCCACUACUGCCAAUUUCCUGAAGAAACCCAAGUGAACUUCACUACUGCGUCUAAGAGAUUGUAUGGAUUUUUUUAUAGAUGCUGUCAUUCAGCUAUAAGCUUCAAAACAACAUUGAAAUAGUCAAAUAAUAAUGUCGAUUCUGCGUGAUUGUUUGAAAGGGUGUAAACCCUGCUCCAGCACACCUGCUUGUACUUCUCAAGUAAUUCUGAUUAGCUAAUUCAGACGUGUUAAAUAGAGUUGCAAGAACUUGAAAUUGAGUUUGAGUGUCCUGCCCUAAAAGCUGAUUCACUGACAGGAACGCUAUCGGAGGAUGUUGAUCCAGGAGCAUGUUUAUCAUGUCCUGCUGGGAAGUUAAUUAUGGCUACAGAGGGAGACCCAACUGACUGUGAAAGUGCUUCACCUUCUGGUCAUUUCCUUCACCUGGGGAAUGCAGGUGUGGGUGUCUUUCAUAGCAGGUUUUGUGCUGAUUUCCCAGGUAUCCAUGCACACAUUCGGUCUUGUGCAAAGCAAGUUAUUCCCAUUUUAUUUCUACUGU